rnacentral:rRNA from 1 species
GACGAACGCUGGCGGCGUGCUUAACACAUGCAAGUCGAGCGGUAAGGCCCUUCGGGGUACCCGAGCGGCGAACGGGUGAGUAACACGUGAGUAAUCUGCCCAUCACUUCGGGAUAACUCCGGGAAACCGGUGCUAAUACCGAAUAUGACCACUUCAGGCAUCUGAUGGUGGUGGAAAGUUCCGGCGGUGAUGGAUGAGCUCGCGGCCUAUCAGCUUGUUGGUGGGGUAGUGGCCUACCAAGGCUUCGACGGGUAGCCGGCCUGAGAGGGUGACCGGCCACACGGGGACUGAGACACGGCCCAGACUCCUACGGGCGGCAGCAGUGGGGAGUAUUGGACAGUGGGCGAGAGCCUGAUCCAACAACGCCGCGUGAGGGAUGACGGCCUUCGGGUUGUAAACCUCUUUCAGCGGGGACGAAGCGCAAGUGACGGUACCUGCAGAAGAAGCACCGGCCAACUACGUG